GAGGCCACAUAGGUGCCGCACACGGAGUUGUGAUUCUUUGAAAUUUUAGAAUGGCCUCAUUUUUUUUUAUUUAUGUAUUUUAAAUGAUUUGAUCAUUAUAUAUAGUAAUCAAGUCUGAAAUCAGCAUAUUUGUGUUUUACUUCUUGUAACUCCUCCUCAACUUGGUUUAAGCAGAAUAGCAAAGUUGAAGUAUUAGUUAGUAGUAUAGAGAAAAUGCAAGAGCACCCUGA
rnacentral:lncRNA from 1 species